UACGUAGGGGGCUAGCGUUGUCCGGAAUCAUUGGGCGUAAAGCGCGUGUAGGCGGUCCGGUAAGUCCGCUGUGAAAGUCGGGGGCUCAACCCUCGGAUGCCGGUGGAUACUGUCGGGCUUGAGUACGGAAGAGGCGAGUGGAAUUCCUGGUGUAGCGGUGAAAUGCGCAGAGUAUCAGGAGGAACACCAAUUGCGAAGGCAG
rnacentral:rRNA from 1 species